UUUUUUUUUUUUUUACUGUCUUCAUGGUUUUGCCUCUUCCAGAAUAUCAUAUGGCUGCAAUUAUAAAGUAUAUAGCCUUUUCAGCCUUUCCAUUCAUAUAGUAACAUGUUUUUAAGGUUCUUCCUUGUCUUUUCAUGGCUUAAUAGCUCAUUUCCUUUUAGCACCAAAUAAUAUUCCAUUAUCUGGAUGUACCACAAUUUAUUUAUCUGUUCACUAACUGAAGGACAUCUUUGUUGUCUCCAAGCUUUGGCCAUUACAAAUAAAGAUGCUAUAAACCUCCGUGUGUAGGUUUUUGUGCAGAUAGGAGCAAAUACCAAAGGACACAAUAGCUGAAUCAUAUGGUAAGGAUAUGUUUAGUUUUGUAAGAAACUGCCAGAAAUGAGUCAAUUUUGAUGGUAGGAGUAGACAUGAGGGAGCUCCUCAAAAGAUGGUGCCUGGUGUCUAGAUAAAUGGUAGGGUAAAGGAAGGAUGGUGGAAUCAGAGAUGCAAAAGAAGGGCAAGUAGAACAUGAAGACAGUAAAGAUUGAUAAACCUGCUUCACAAUUGCCAAGGCUGGGUGUAGUUAGAGACCUCUUCUUUGCCUGACCUUGAUUCAGCCUUCACUGAGCCAGAGCUGCCAACUUGAGUCACACCUGCCCUUAGGAAAUUCACCAACUGGUUGUAAGAAUCACAAAUCAUUAUUCUAAUUCACUGCUUUUCCAUUUGGCCUCCUCAACAAAGAAAAAUGUUUCUUGUAUUUCCUAUUUCACAGUGACCAACACACCCUGUUCAUACUCAGGAAUACCAGCUGUGGGUAAUAAUACAAUGAACCAAAUUAUGCUAAAGGCCAUCCUCGCAUUCACACCCAAAACUCUGGACUUUUCCUUACUUUAAAGGGAUCCAUCUGCCAAAGCACUGGUAUGCUGGAGAUUGGGACUAUAAAUUACUCAUUUGUGGGGGCACCUGGGUGGCUCAGUCAGUUAAGGGUCCUGAGAUCAAGCCCCAUGGCAAGCUCCCUGCUGAGUGAGGAGUCUGCUUCUCCCUCUCCCUCUGCUCCUCCCCACAACUCAUUCUCUCUCUCUCUCUCUCUCUCUAAUAACAAAUAAAAUCUUUAAAAAAAUUACUCAUUUGCCUCCCUUCCAGGCUAUAACCAGUUGACGGUAGAUGCAAGGAUUCAUAGACCAGAGAAUCAGCUUUAUCAAUGGCAACAAUGUCCCUUUAAUUCAGUCUUCUAGUAUACCAUCCCCUGCCCUUGUCCUGCAUGGAAGGUCUAUGGACCAGCAGAACAGGACUAACUUAUUAACCAAUCCACCACUUUGCUUUUUCGCUUUGGGUUCUGCUAAGGAAGACAGAGAAUGAUGAGCUCAUGAGGCUUACUGCGUCUGGGCACAAAUCCAACAAGACACAAGAGCCCUGCCAUGAAUGAGCAGUGACUUGAACACAUUUGCUUUGCCCAAAAGAGCAAUGGCUGAGUGUCAGCCUCUCACCAGCCCUCCAAUGGAUGAGUCAGUAAUCUUCCUUUCUGCUACUGGGACUGAAGCAUUGCCAUCAUGUGGGAUUUUUAAUGCUAAAACCAGGAAGUCCCUGGCAAAUCAGUUGGUCAUGUUAUAUCCUCCUCAAGCCUUAGCAUAUGUGUUCUCUCUUAACGAGGAACAACAAUGGAACAACCAUGCGGAGAGAGGAAGAGGAGGGUUUUUCCCUACAGUGGCUCUAGCAGAACCCCCAGGCUGAUAAGAACUGGUGUCGUUAGUGCACUACUAUGGAGUAGGGGUGAAAUUUGGGAUGUAAAUACAACACCCCCUUACCAGCACUGCUCUCUUGUGUGGUGAGACUACAGGUGAUUUUUAUGUUCUUUAUGGUUUUCUAUUUGUUCCAAACUUUCUGCAAUAACCAUCAGUAGCAUGGGAAUCAGAAAAAAAAAGAAUUAAAUUAUAAUAAAGCAAUAGGAAUAAAAAGAGAAAACCAGUAAUGUAAAUAAUAAAACCAUUUUUAAAGUGUGACCUUUUGAUCAUUUUCUCCUGCACCCAGAUGGGGUAUGUUCUGAGAAGCAAAGAUACACUGAUCAACUGGAGCAGAACAAUGAGGAAAAUGAGAAAUGUGUUCCAAGUUUACUCAGGAUGACCUUAGAUUAUCCAGUGGUCAUAUUGCAAUUUUUAGGAAGUUUCUGUUCCCCUAUUCUUCCCUUCUCAAUCAUAAUCAACUGUAAGUACUGGAUUCUCCCAAAACACAAACUAUAUUACCCUAUUCCUCCCCAGAUACCUUCUCUAAACUGAAAUUGCGAUUUAACCCUAUGCUCUGUUUAAAUAACAUUUCGCCUUUUAAGCAAGUAUGGCUGAAGAUACAAAUUUGCUCUAUUAGAGAUGGAUAAGUAGAUGGAUUUUUGGUCUCAAUUCAAUUACUUCCUGAAUGUAUAGCCUUAUGUGUCCCCAAGACUCGGGUUUUUCAUCCAAAGAGCGUAGCUGGAAGGCACUUUUCUCCCAAGCUUGCAUGCCUCUGGGGAUCUCCAUCAAAAUCUAUGAGCACAGAAUUGCUCUAUAUACUGCAGAAUAGUGUCCAAAGAUUUGCAACUACAUAUCAAGGGAUUGACCUUUUUGCCUUAGGGGCCAGGAAACAUAGAAACCAAUUCAAAUGGAAAAGAAAACCAUUCAUUCAUUCAUUCAUCCAUCCAUCCAUCCAUCCAUCCAAAAAGCAGUUCCUAAUCACCUCUGUGCUUUAGAGACCUAAAGAUGAAUAGGUCAUCUCUAGCCAGGGACCAAGUCUGAGAGGUAUACUAUUCAGUGGUGCUGUAGGAUUCCACACCACCUUCUACCCACUUAUCUUCAGCCCUGGAGCCAUAAUGAGGCCAUAAUGGGACCAUAAGGAGACAAAUCUCAUUGAAAAGCAAAGCUUCCAACCACAUCUCCACUGAUGACUGAUAGAAACUCGUGUUUUUCUUUCCUUUUACCCAAAGGGAAAAAUAAACACUUUAAAAAUGAUGAAAGCCAAAAAAAAAGAAAAUGAUGAAAGCCCUUUAAUCAGGAGCCUGGACUCAGACCUAGAAAAACCAGACAAUUAACACUUGAAUUAGCAGAGAGAAAAGAUCUUUCCUAAAAAGCUUCCAUGGGGCAUGCACUGGAGAAGUUGAAAAUAAACCCUUUGAAAAACAGAACAGGUGGGUCUCAGCCCCUUCAUAACAGUUUAUUGCAAACUCUAUUUCAAGCUCUAUCUUGGAGCAAAGAAGUAAUUAAACACACAAAAGUAGAUUCACUCAGACGGAGGAACGCCCACUCCCAGAGUACUAGGCCGAGGGCAGACAAGGAUGGCUUGCUUUCCCUGGACCAGAUCUGCUUCACCAUUAGGCAACACUCCAUGUAAUAAGGUGGCUAUUGGAAGCCACCCAGCUCCCCAAAUACCACAUCCCACUCCAACUUCCUUACGGGUAUCUAAAACUCCACCCCACUGUAAUUGCAUCCUUUUAGGUUAAAAUAGUGUCCAAUAGUGUCCCUGUUAUACAACCAACACCAGGUGUUGGUAAAAGUGGGCAAAAUCAGGCAAGUCCAGUUCUAGAUAUUUGUAGGAAGAAAGGAGGUAGCUGUAAGUUGUUCGAAAUGGAGAAGGUUUCUCCAGGAUGCCUAUAAAGAAAAUGCUCAAGCUUGUAGGUUCUCAAACUUUAGUGUGCCUCAGAACCACCUGAAAGGCUUGUAAAACAGACUGUUACCCCAUUUACCCCAUGCCCCACAUAUACUUGGCUAGAUAAAGAAUUCCAGAUUCAGGGUGCCUGGGUGGCUCAGUCGGUUAAGCAUCUGCCUUCGGCUCGGUUCAUGAUCUAAGGUCCUGGGAUCCAGCACCUCAUGGGGCUCCCUGCUCAGUGGGGAGUCUGCUUUUCCCUUUGCCCACUCUUGAGCAUGCUUUUCCCUUUGCCCACUCUUGAGCAUGCACGCACGUGCGCGCGCGCACACACACACACCCUCUUUUUCUCUCUCUCUCUCAAAUAAAUAAAAUCUAAAAUCUUAAAAAAAAAAAAGAACUCCAGGUUCAAAGGCACAUAUCCUUGACACUUUGAGGCUGACCCUCUAUUAUCUGCUGGUAUCUGAUGUGGCUGAGAUUUCUUUUAUUCUAGUAUGCUGUUACAUAAUUUUCUUUUUGAUUUUUAUUAAUUCUAUGUGAUUGUGACUGUUUUUAAAGUAUUUUUUAGGGGAUCCCUGGGUGGCUCAGUGGUAUAGCACCUGCCUUCGGCCCAGGGCGGGAUCCUGGAGUCCCUGGAUCGAAUCCCACAUCGGGCUCCUUGCACAGAGCCUGCCUCUCCCUCUACCUCUGUCUCUCUCUCUCUCUCUCAAUCUGUGUCUCUCAUGAAUAAAUGAAUAAAAUCUUUUAAAAAAUAAUAAAGUAUUUUUUUAUUAUUUCUAUGUCUUUUGAAAUGAGGGUCAUUUUUUUUCCAUGCUCAAUCUAUCAUCUUGAGUGAGAAGUCUGAGCACGUGUUUUCAAUCCUUUUCAAUUCCAGGAAACCAGCCCCAGCACAUCUCCAAAAGCCCAGAGAUCAAUUUGUAAAACUCACAUUGUUCAAUCUUAGAGAAAUAGUUACCAUUUCUGGUAUCUCUCUGUAUUCAGGAAGCAUCAUAUAUAUGUGGUUUGUCUAGAUGCUUCCUGAUUCACUUGGCUCAACUUAAUAUUUAAAGAAGAAAAGAAGGGGAAACAAAGCCACCUGCUUAGGUUCUGAUCUGAGGGGAAUAAUGUAUACAUUUCCCACUUAUCAACCGUACUGUAGCAUAUGUGUCCCAGGAAAAUCAAAUCCGUAGCUUACCACCUAGUCUGUUGUUUCAUAGGAGCAGGUUGUCAUGUCAUUUGUAGCUGUAUCCUUUGUACCUAGCACAGUGCCUGAUAUAGAGGGCCAUAUGCGAUCUGUUUAUUAACUGAAUGAAUAACCAUAAGGAGUAAGUAGGAUGUAUGUGAUUAAAACUAUAUCUCACUUGGAAAACUGGGAGUCAGAGUCACAGCCAGGCACCAGAGUUAGGACAAGAACCUUGAAUUUCUGACAUUAACCCAAUUCAGCACAUCCCAGGAGAAACAACACAACUUUGCUGAUGAUUUACUGACUAAACAUUUCUCCAAAAUGUGUGUUGUUCAUAUGCGCUCAUAUGAACACAUAAAAGAUACUCAAUAAGAUGCUUGUUAGAUUAUUAUGAUGAAAUGAAUUAGUAUAAUUAAGUAUUCAUUUGUUUAUUAAUAGUUUUGCACUCAUGGAACAUCCUAGAAUUGAAUAACAGCAUUACAAAACCUCUCUCUGGAAAAAUGCACACCUGUACACAAGCACACAAACACGUGAAAUUUUGCACCAAUUUCAAAAGAUUCCCAGAGCUCCUAAGGCUGAGUUAAACCUUAAAAGUCCCUUUCAAAAUCUUGAAAUAUUAGGGCUUAGAAGGGGCUUACAGAUGAUUGAUUUCAAUGCCCUCACUUUACAAACACAGAACUGAAGACUAGAGACAGGGAAUUUUUGGUAGAUUGACUUCAGAGUGCCUUAAGGAAAGGCAUUGGGUGUCUCCUGUGCAGAAGUCUCCCUAGGAGCUAGCUGGGGAAAGACAAAUACCACCUCCCUUACCUCCCUGAGCUUCCUGGAGGCAGAAGUAACUUACUUUAAGCUUCAUAGCCAGUUAGGAAAAGCCCUGAGACCAGAAUUUCCCUCCCAUUGCCCUUUCUAUGACUAGUGCUGCCCCCACAAAGUCUCUUGCUGUGUUUUCCUCUUCAUUUUCAUUUUCUAAAAAAAAAAAAAAAAAAAAA
rnacentral:lncRNA from 1 species